rnacentral:rRNA from 1 species
UACGAAGGGUGCAAGCGUUACUCGGAAUUACUGGGGCGUAAAGCGUGCGUAGGUGGUUCGUUAAGUCUGAUGUGAAAGCCCUGGGCUCAACCUGGGAAUGGCAUUGGAAACUGGCGACCUAGAGUGCGGUAGAGGGUAGUGGAAUUCCCGGUGUAGCAGUGAAAUGCGUAGAGAUCGGGAGGAACAUCUGUGGCGAAGGCGACUGCCUGGACCAGCACUGACACUGAGGCACGAAAGCGUGGGGAGCAAACAGG